UGAGGAAUCUUGCGCAAUGGGGGAAACCCUGACGCAGCAACGCCGCGUGAGGGAGGAAGGUCUUCGGAUCGUAAAGCUCUGUCAGUUGGAAAGAAAUGUCUGAGAGUCAAUCCCUUUCAGGCUUGACGGUACCAACAGUGGAAGCACCGGCUAACUCCGUGCCAGCAGCCGCGGUAAUACGGGGGGUGCAAGCGUUGUUCGGAAUUAUUGGGCGCAAAGAGCGUGUAGGCGGCCGGAUAUGUCAGAUGUGAAAGCCCCGGGCUUAACCCGGGAAGUGCAUUUGAAACUGUCCGGCUCGAGUAGGGGAGAGGGAAGUGGAAUUCCUGGUGUAGAGGUGAAAUUCGUAGAUAUCAGGAGGAACACCGGUGGCGAAGGCGACUUCCUGGCCCUAUACUGACGCUGAGACGCGAGAGCGUGGGUAGCAAACAG
rnacentral:rRNA from 1 species